rnacentral:rRNA from 1 species
AGUCGAGCGGACCGACGGGAGCUUGCUCCCUUAGGUCAGCGGCGGACGGGCGAUUAACACGUGGGUAACCUGCCUGUAAGACUGGGAUAACUCCGGGAAACCGGGGCUAAUACCGGAUGCUUGAUUGAACCGCAUGGUUCAAUCAUAAAAGGUGGCUUUUAGCUACCACUUGCAGAUGGACCCGCGGCGCAUUAGCUAGUUGGUGAGGUAACGGCUCACCAAGGCCACGAUGCGUAGCCGACCUGAGAGGGUGAUCGGCCACACUGGGACUGAGACACGGCCCAGACUCCUACGGGAGGCAGCAGUAGGGAAUCUUCCGCAAUGGACGAAAGUCUGACGGAGCAACGCCGCGUGAGUGAUGAAGGUUUUCGGAUCGUAAAACUCUGUUGUUAGGGAAGAACAAGUACCGUUCGAAUAGGGCGGCACCUUGACGGUACCUAACCAGAAAGCCACGGCUAACUACGUGCCAGCAGCCGCGGUAAUACGUAGGUGGCAAGCGUUGUCCGGAAUUAUUGGGCGUAAGCGCGCGCAGGCGGUUUCUUAGUCUGAUGUGAAACCCCCGGCUCACCGGGGAGGGUCUUGGAAACUGGGGAACUUGAGUGCAGAAGAGGAGAGUGGAAUUCCACGUGUAGCGGUGAAAUGCGUAUAGAUGUGGAGGAAC